rnacentral:Y_RNA from 1 species
GGUUGGUCUGAUGGUAGUGGGUUAUCGGAACUUAUUAACAUUACUUGGUAUACAAUAGUUGGUAUACAACCUCCCCACUGCUAAAUUUGACUGGCUUAAA